AAUGAACUAGGCGCGGCCAAAAAGGAGCCCCAUCCAUCUAUCACACGUGUAGACAAAGAGGGGACUCCACAACACAAAGCUGGAUGUUGCCCUCUCACAAACUUUUUCCUGCGACUCACAACGACGCGCGCAAAAACUGCAAAAACACCCUGCAGGAUCUGUGUCCUUAGGUGGAUUUUAACACCAGAUUAACCAGCGAAGCGUUUUCUCCUGCUUGGAGGUUAAGGAAAGAAAAAUAUGUGGAAAUCACAUGGAAGAUGUACCGAGUCACCUAUCAAGCGGCUUUUGAGACGCAGAGGAGGAUUAAGAGACUGUGCAGUUUGCUUUUUAGAGAAGGUGAAGACUCAUCUCAUGAGGAUUUAAACUUCAGGAGCAGCAGUGCCAGGCGGGAUGCAUUUCAGGCACACUUGGAAAUCUGAAAAACUCAUGGAGACACUUUGAGGAUUAUAAAGAUGUGCAGCGUGUGUCUCUCUCCACAAGACAACAUCCCUGCAGCCCAAAGCCACCGGGAUAGCAGGAUAUUGCAUGUAUGAUCCUCCUCGGCCCUCCGCAUUGGGAGUGUGGGAGUGGUGAGGUCUGGGAGAUCACGACCUUAAUUCUCUCCAAGACAGACGGUUUAAUUAACACUGGAGGAAUUCUCACCGGCUCCAGACCUCUACAACAGGGAAUGUACAGGGGAAUUGGAUUGCCAAGAUACAUUCUUUACAACGCCCACGACCUCUGGCUGUGCAACUACAGCCACUGAUGAGGAAGCAACAAUGCAGACAGAAAUGUAGGCCUCCUUCUGCAUAGUCCACAUUGCGAGAAGACCACCUCACAGGGAUUUUCCCCUUCACCAGGUGUGGCAUAGUGAGAGUCAGCGGUGAAGAUCACCUGGUCUAGACAGGACUAUCAGGAUCUGCAAAGAAACCUGCGUCGAAACGGAAAAGAAAAUGAAGAUGAAGAGGAAAACAGCUUGACAGAGUUAACGGUUAAUUAUGCACAUUUGUCACAUAUACGGUAACAUCCGAUUGUUCGUCAUCUCCGUUGUCAUAACUUCUUCGACUGCAACUCAGGUGUUUCGCUUUUAAAUAUAUUGGAAACAUCUGGUGUCUUUUGAGUACAAAUUAGAAGUUUAGGAUGUGCAAUCUUCUCAAGCGUUACUUUUCACAAGAUAUCACUGGCUGUAAAUAAGUUCGAAAAUCAUUAUACAUUGAUGUUAUUUUGUAUGUGUGAUAUGGUGAGAAUCAUAACAACUCUUGCUGUAAAGUUUCUCAAAAAUGAAAUAAUCCUUAAUUGCAUAUUCAGGAUGUGUUUUACUAUACGUGUGUAUGAUGGAUUUGAAAAAAGCCUAUUCUUGUUCAUGUUCACUGACGCGUGGGAAAGUGCUGUUUAUUUGCUGUCCACAUUUUUAUUCCACGAAUACUAUACAUGCUCCUCUUUACGGUACAUAGCUUUCUCCUAACGCUUCUCAUGUAUGUACAUGUGAAAGAACAUGCGGUCAGAACAAUGUAUGCAUCUAAGGAUUUACGGUGUUACACCGCUUUGACAACCCUAGUGUCUGGUACAAUAACAUAUUCAUGUAUGUGCACUGUAUCUGUUAAGAAGUGUGAUCCCAAUUUGGUCACGGGGGAACGAAGACAACAUUAAGGACGUGUACUCAUACAAUAUGUACAGCUCUGCGGAGAAAUAUUCCCAGAUUAUAGAGCUCUAAUAUGACAAUAUAUGUACAGCGUUCCACUUUUAUCAUUGUAACAUAGAUUAUUAAUGAAUAUUGUAUAGUUCUGCGAAAAAUCGAGGUAAUAUAAGGUUGAAUAAGGAUUUUAAUGGUUACUCAACCGACUCAUGGAAACAUGGACUACACGUUUCAUUAUGAGAAUCUACCAGCCGUGUGGGAAUGAUGCAAUAUAAAGUGUACCUCUUCCUUUACUACAUCUUCCACAUCUGUGCUUUAAAGAGUUGAGUGCCUUGCCACAGGGUGCUAUGGUAAUGAUGGUGGUGACUUGAGAUGCUGUGAGCAAUGCGUCAUACAUACAAAGGUGUUUUAAAUUAUGAAGUAAAUAUCUUGUUAAAGCUAGGGUUGGUAAUUUUAAGAAAUUAGCAAGAAUACUCUAGAAUAUAAAAAUGAUCUAACCGAAAAUCCCAGCUCAGUGUUGUCAACUGUUUUCCAGUGAAAGUGUACUACGGACAGCGCCGCACCUACACACGCACACCCGGCCCCUACACACAACAAACAGUGAAGUGAUAGUCACAUGUAUCUCGGCCAGUAAUGUUGUUAUUUUUGCUAUUUUUCUACAGAUACAUAAAGCAUUAACAGAGGGGGCAAAACAAUUCAACUAAGACCCCUCGUGGUGCUGGGCCCGAGGAGAACUAGAAUAGCUGCGUAGAGUAGAACUAGAAUGGCUAUGUGCGAGUGUGACCGUGAUUCAUGCUCAUGCAUGUCAACGAGCCGGGCCUCGCAUAUCGAGUUGGCACAUGGCCUCGCACCCCCCUGGGACGGCCCUAUAGAAACCACCUUUCAACAGUAAUAAUGGGUCUACUUUAGUUACCAUCUGCAAUUAUGUGGUUCCCUUUUUUGACUGUACAGUCCACAUUAUCCUUAUUUAUUCAUUUUCUUUCAUUAAACAUCAUAUAUUUUCAUGACAAAACUCUUUUCAUUUGCAACUUAUUGACUAUAUUUACCCUUACAUCAGGUAACAAUUAUAUUUGGUUUCUUCUUUUUGUAAUAUCUCGUAAAGCCUGGAUAUUGUUAAUGUUUUGAUGACUUGACACUAAGAAACUAUGCUAGCAGCUCUAUGGGGCUAGACAUGCUUUGAAGAUGCUUUUAAGCUUAAUGCUAAAAUAUUGAAAAUUACUAAAAUGCUAAUGUCAUCCAUGUUCAUCUUGGAAGGGCAUUAGUUUGGUCAUGUUUGUACACAAUUAGAUGGCAAUCAAUCCAAUAGUUGCCAAGACAUUUCACUAAAAACCACAAAUGUCAACCACAUAGGGGCACUAAAGGAAAGGUCAGGGGAUCACUAGGAUACAUCAUCUAGAAGCCAUAAAUAUCUGUACACAUUUUCAACCUAAAUAUGUUGUAGAUGUUGGAGUUACUGGAAUUACUGGUUUUACUGGAGAUGAAAAGUCAGGGGAUCACCAAAGUCACGAUUUCAUCCUCAUGGGAACCAUGGAUUUCUGCACAAAAUUUCAUGACAAUCCAUUUGAUAGUUUUUGAGAUAGUUCAGUAUGGACCAAAGUGGAUGCCCUCAUGGCUACUUAACAGCUUUCCGUGUUUAAACCUGUCAUAUUGAAGAAAACAUUUCUUUUUCCUUAAAUAAGAAAACAACAUGUAGAGAAUCCAAAAUACCAGAGCUGGGUUAGCCCUAUCGCACGCCUGCAGUGAACAGUUUUGAAGCCUCUCUAUCUGCCUCCUUCCAUCUCUGUCUGUGGUUACUAACCCCGGCUACAGUGGUCAGACGUGGGCCCACUAUGUUUUCCACGGACAGUUUAUCACACUUCCUUUCCCUCUGCUCUGGGCCCCCAGUCAGUCUGCCAGACAGGAAAAUCAAAAGACUUUGGGACAUACUAUUACAGUGCAAAUGGUAUAUUGCACUGUACAGCAUGCUGAUGAUAUAUACCAUUAAAGUCUCACCAGUAAACACAAAACAGGAAGGAGGUCUGAGCUUAGUUUCCCUUUAACAGCCCUCACAAGUGAACAUAAAUGUCUGAAUCACACAUUGGAUUGAUUGAAAGUGAGUCAAAAUGAGCCUCUGGCCUGCAUAUCGGAUGGUAUGGAAUUGAAUGGGUGGUAAAAUGGUUUUACUUGAAUGUCUGUGAAUGUUAUUCCGUUGGAACUGUGUGGAGUUGAAUUUCAUUAAAUAAAGUGUUUAAUAAAUCAUUUGAGAUUCAGUUGAUUUCACCAUCAUUAUAUGGUAUGGAUCUAAAUGCCAGGUAAAGGGAUUUCAUUAUUUUCUAGGGCAGUUUGUCAAACGUUCUGUCAACCUAUAGCCUGGCUUAAAAAAGAAAAAAACCCUCUGCCUUCAGAUCUGUCCAACAUCUGGCUUUAUUCCUGCGAGAUGCUAUCUGGAUCAUGUAUUGUGCUUGAAACGUAAAAUCCGCUUUAAUAAAAA